rnacentral:misc_RNA from 1 species
ACAUUCUUCUUGAUGAAAAUUUCAAUCCCAAAAUAUCUGACUUUGGGCUUGCGAAACUGUACUCCUCAGAUGAUAGUAUUGUGAGUCUAACUGCAGCUAGAGGGACUAUGGGCUACAUGGCUCCGGAGCUGUUUUAUAAAAAUAUUGGAGGAGUGUCAUACAAAGCCGAUGUAUAUAGCUAUGGCAUGUUAAUGAUGGAAAUGGCAGGCAGAAGGAAGAGCAUGAACCCAUUUGAGGACCAUUUAAGCCAAAUUUACUUUCCUACCUGGAUUUACGACCAGUUUAAUGAAGGAAAUGAUAUAGAGAUACAGGAUGCAAGCGAGGAAGAUCGGAGACUUGUGAAGAAGAUGAUGAUUGUGGCUUUGUGGUGCAUACAAAUGAAGCCUGCUGAUCGCCCCGCCAUGAACAAAGUAGUUGAAAUGCUUGAAGGAGAUGUUGGACUCCUACAGAUGCCCCCAAGACCUUUUAUAGCUCCUCGUGAUCAGUUUGCUGGAGAUAGCGAUGAAACAAUAGGAGUUUCGAGUGAUGUAUAGGUGGCUUGGCUACUCACAAUUGUGCAAAACUAUGGUCAUAACUCAUAAUUCACUUGAUUUCUGAUGUCCAAUAUCUAUCAGAAGAGCUCAAUCUCUAGCCACAAGUAGCCAUUUCCUCUUUGGUUUUAAUAUGGUAAGAAUUUG